AAACAACGUUGCCACACGCGGAGAGCACGGAGAUUUCUGGGGCUUUGGAGGGAAUCGUGAGCGGGCGGGAGGAGGCCGGGGACCACACAGAGAAUAACUUGUCUGACUACCAGUAUUCUUGGAUGCAGAAGUGCUGAAGAUGAGCACACACACGUACGGAGAAUUUCUGGAGAAUUCAGCUGCUCAGAACAAGAACUGAGAUCCAGAGAGAUGAUGACUUUGCCCAUAGACCAAACAAAGAAAUACAUGUUUCAGUCCUGUGUCCUCCUGCUAUGUGUGUCCGGAAUUGGUGGGUUCUUGGUCUCACUGACUUCAAGAAUGAAGCUGCGGACCCUCGCGCUCACAGGAUAUCGGCCAUGUUAAUGAGUCUGAUGUUGCUAGUAUCACAGGCACCGGAAAAUAUGCACAUUAUGCUGGAGCAUUAGAAUGCAACAGAAAGAGCCCUGGGCUUGGAGUAUGCAGAACUGGUUCUUGUUACAACUCCUCUUACUAGUGGGCUGCUAUGGACCUAAAGUGGAGGGCUUUGAAAUUUCCUGCUUAAUUGGGCUGCAUGUCAUUGCUGUCCUUAGAAGUUGCUCUGGGAUGCAGGUGCUGGUUUCUUGGAUCUCCUUUGCUGGAAUUUUGCAUGUCUUGUUUUGUUGUUGUACCAGCUUUGUGGAUCAGCCAACAUCCUUGGCUUGCCCUGUGGGGAGUGGGGUGGGACACAUCUUGGAUUGCUCUAUUCCAGGGAUGUCCAACAUUUUGGCUUCCCUAGGCCACAUUGGAAGAAGAAGAAUUGUAUUGGGCUACACAUAAAAUACACUAUCACUAAAAUAGCUGAUGAGCUAAAAAAAAAAAUCGCAAAAAAAAUCUCAUAAUGUUUUAAGAAAGUUGAUGAAGUUGUAUUGGGCCACAUUCAAAGCUUUCCUGGGCCACAUGCAGGCUGAGGGCUGUGGAUUGAAUAAACUUGCUCUAUUCCCUUUGCAGUA
rnacentral:lncRNA from 1 species